rnacentral:tRNA from 1 species
GUCUCAGUAGCUCAGCUGGAUAGAGCAACUGCCUUCUAAGCAGUCGGUCGCUGGUUCGAAUCCAGCCUGAGACG